CAAAACUGUGGAGGCCUGACUGUCAUCUACGCUGAAGACCUUCACAGUGUUAGGAAAUGAUUUGCAGCAGUGAUGGAGACACUUUUCAGCUCCCAGGAAGUCAAUGAGAGUCACUGCUGAGGUGGGAACACCGUAGUCAGGCCAGCUGAGUGGAAGGUUCCAGGUGGAGGUUCUUUUCGGAGCUCCUCAUACUCCUGAUGGAUGCCUGAACGCUGGAGCCUGCCGAGGUGUGUCAGC